AGUGAACGCUGGCGGUAGGCCUAACACAUGCAAGUCGAACGGCAGCACAGUAAGAGCUUGCUCUUACGGGUGGCGAGUGGCGGACGGGUGAGGAAUACAUCGGAAUCUACUUUUUCGUGGGGGAUAACGUAGGGAAACUUACGCUAAUACCGCAUACGACCUACGGGUGAAAGCAGGGGAUCUUCGGACCUUGCGCGAUUGAAUGAGCCGAUGUCGGAUUAGCUAGUUGGCGGGGUAAAGGCCCACCAAGGCGACGAUCCGUAGCUGGUCUGAGAGGAUGAUCAGCCAAACUGGAACUGAGACAAGGUCCAGACUCCUACGGGAGGCAGCAGUGGGGAAUAUUGGACAAUGGGCGCAAGCCUGAUCCAGCCAUACCGCGUGGGUGAAGAAGGCCUUCGGGUUGUAAAGCCCUUUUGUUGGGAAAGAAAAGCAGCAGGUUAAUACCCCGCUGUUCUGACGGUACCCAAAGAAUAAGCACCGGCUAACUUCGUG
rnacentral:rRNA from 1 species